rnacentral:rRNA from 1 species
GAUGAACGCUGGCGGCGUGCCUAACACAUGCAAGUCGAACGAACCUGAUCUUCGGAAAAGGUUAGUGGCGCACGGGUGAGUAACACGUAGGUGACCUGCCCUGGAGUGGGGGAUAACUUCUCGAAAGAGAGGCUAAUACCGCAUACGCUCGGCCAUUCAGUUGGUCGAGUAAAGCUCCGGCGCUCCAGGAGGGGCCUGCGUCCGAUUAGCUAGUUGGUGAGGUAAUGGCUCACCAAGGCGAUGAUCGGUAGCUGGUCUGAGAGGACGAUCAGCCACACUGGCACUGACACACGGGCCAGACUCCGACGGGAGGCAGCAGUGAGGAAGAUUGGACAAUAGGCGAAAGCCUGAACCAGCAACGCCGCGUGAGGGAUGAAGGCCUUCGGGUCGUAAACCUCUUUUCUGGGAGAAGAGACAAGGACGGUAUCCCAGGAAUAAGUCUCGGCUAACUACGUGCCAGCAGCCGCAGUAAGAC